rnacentral:lncRNA from 1 species
CUUAGGAAGAUUUGUAUGAUUUAAUGAAAAGUUCCAUGAGCAAAACCAGAACAAUUUGUAGAAUAACCACAACUUAAUCAAAAUUAACAACUUUGAAGGACAUCAGAACUUAAUUAAUACAAUGGUCAACCAUGAUUCCACAGGACCAGUGAUAAAGCACAGAAUCCACUGCUUGGUAGAGAAGUAAUAAUGAGUCAACAAAAAGAAAGAGACAAACAUUUUUAGACCUGGCCAUUGUGGGAUUGUUUUUUUUUUUGCUUGAAUACACAUAUUUAUUACAAAGGUUCUUUUAUUCUUGUUGUACAGACUGAGAAAGAGAGCAAGGAGAUUAAGAAAAAGAAAAUAAAUUAAUUUUUUAAAGAACAGAUGCUCAUUGAGGAACACCUUUGGGAUCAGAAAGCUAUCCUGUGCUCCCUGAUUGACUGAAACCCUAACUCAUACAGAAGAAUUGGAUGUUCAACUCAUAUCAUGCUCAGCUUCUUUGCAGGUUUUAACAAGAUCCUCCACUGCUUCUCGUCCUCUAAAGGCCAGAACUCUGAAGCAGCCUAGGACCCUGCGGAGCCCAAGACUGUCACUAACUAGCUGUGUCUCUUUAGGAAAAUAACGUUAUAUUCUGUAAGUUUAUAUUCCUUCGCUAUCUAAAGCAGUGUUUACAACAGAAAGAAUACCAGAUUUGGAGUCAGAAGACCUAGGCUCAGCCACUGAUUAUCUUUGUGAGCUUGUGCAAUCAAUCAAUUAAAUAAUGGGCAUUUAGUAAGCCUUUGUGAGCUGGA